AACGCGAAGAACCUUACCAAGACUUGACAUGCAUAUGAAUACUAAAGAAAUUUAGUAGGCCUUCGGGACAUAUGUGCAGGUGAUGCAUGGUUGUCGUCAGCUCGUGUCGUGAGAUGUUAGGUUAAGUCCUGCAACGAGCGCAACCCACGUGUUUAGUUGCUCGAAAAGAGAACUCUAAACAGACUGCCGUAGUUAAUACGGAGGAAGGUGUGGAUGACGUCAAAUCAUCACGUCCCUUAUGUCUUGGGCUACACACGUACUACAAUGGCUACUACAAAGAGAAGCAAAUUCGUGAGAAUGAGCAAAACUUAAAAAGGUAGUCUCAGUUCGGAUUGAAGGCUGAAACCCGCCUUCAUGAAGCUGGAAUUGCUAGUAAUCACAGGUCAGCAUACUGUGGUGAAUACGUUCCCGGGUCUUGUACACACCG
rnacentral:rRNA from 1 species